GGAAUCUUCCACAAUGGGCGAAAGUCUGAUGGAGCAACGCCGCGUGAGUGAAGAAGGUUUUCGGAUCGUAAAGCUCUGUUGUUGGUGAAGAAGGAUAGAGGCAGUAACUGGUCUUUAUUUGACGGUAAUCAACCAGAAAGUCACGGCUAACUACGUGCCAG
rnacentral:rRNA from 1 species